rnacentral:rRNA from 1 species
UUGCCAUCGGAUGUGCCCAGAUGGGAUUAGCUAGUAGGUGGGGUAACGGCUCACCUAGGCGACGAUCCCUAGCUGGUCUGAGAGGAUGAUCAGCCACACUGGAACUGAGACACGGUCCAGACUCCUACGGGAGGCAGCAUG